rnacentral:rRNA from 1 species
AACGAACGCUGGCGGCAGGCUUAACACAUGCAAGUCGAACGCUCGACCUUCGGUCGGGAGUGGCAGACGGGUGAGUAACGCGUGGGAACGUACCCUUCGGUUCGGAAUAACCCAGGGAAACUUGGGCUAAUACCGGAUACGUCCUGGCCUGGAGACAGGGUGGGAGAAAGGUUUACUGCCGAAGGAUCGGCCCGCGUCGGAUUAGCUAGUUGGUGGGGUAACGGCCCACCAAGGCGACGAUCCGUAGCUGGUCUGAGAGGAUGAUCAGCCACACUGGGACUGAGACACGGCCCAGACUCCUACGGGAGGCAGCAGUGGGGAAUAUUGGACAAUGGGCGAAAGCCUGAUCCAGCCAUGCCGCGUGAGUGAAGAAGGCCUUAGGGUUGU